CGCGUUUUGAUGCUGUGCUGUUAAAAUGAAAACAGAAAUGUCGGAAGCUCGGAGGGCAGAUUUCCAUCACAUCCACGACGCCUGGAUCGAGGCUACAAACGUCUACCUCGCCGUCAUCCUCAUCAGCAUCGGAUUGUUCUUGUACGUUAAAAAUCUCCGCGAUCGAGAAAGAAGGCAGUUUCAGGUCUGUAGUAAGAAAGGCACUUUAAGAGGCCGAUGAUCCGAGUGUUUCCAAGCUCAGUACAGGACCCUGCCUCUGCUGGAGACAGACGCAAAAGAGCCGAUGACUUAAAAAAUGUUCGAUUGAGGCAACAAUUGGAGCACUGGUACGUUGCCAGAAAAUGGGAGCAAGGUCAGGAGAGGCCACCAUCCAUGGAAAAACCAUCCAGCGUGACGUCAUCAACAGUUGUGAGCAUUGAGGAUAGAUGAUAACCAGGAGGACAGAAAACACAUCACCCCCAAACUUGAAUAAGCCAUUACAAUCACCAACUGUUGACUUAUUACAGACUAUUCUACUCAACUUGGAAUUUGGGUGUGAUCUGCAGUAUUUUUGCCCCAUGUAAAAAAAGCUUUGUUGGUUGUGUAAAAGAAUUCUCCUAAUCCUAUAUCCUAGCUUUGUUGCUGUUAUAGCUAAAUGCUGUACUAUACAAAGCAUGGAUAACAGGGAUUCUUGGUCAGUAUUUUACACCAAUUUUACAAAUUUUUUCAUGAUGUAAGGAGCCAGUUUACAAUUGGAACACAUCAGAAAAAUCAAGUGGAUUUUGUAUAUUAUUUACCAUAGAAACUCAUCUAUUCAAAGCACACAUUGUCCCACAUGUACAUAUAGUACCAAUUAGACCUCUCAGUAUUCUACUUAAAGAGCAUGUGUAAGGCUUGCUACCUUUUCCACUGCAUGGAGGCAAAAUUUGAAGAAUAACAAGCAUGACUGAAGAGAGAUGCGCACUUCUUCACUUUGUUUCAUGUAUACUAAAAGUAUGAGUGCAAUAACUUCCAUUUCAAGUAUCUAAAGUUAUUUAUAAAUGUUUCCUUUAUUUGCUUUAUUCUACAAUAGCCAAUAAACUGU